rfam:Actinokineospora bangkokensis strain 44EHW Scaffold15, whole genome shotgun sequence.
GCCGGUCCUCGGUAGUGGUCUCCGGGACCGCCCCCGCACAGGGAGUGCGGGGAGCCCGAGGACUUCGAUCGAAGACCGGC